rnacentral:rRNA from 1 species
AUUGAACGCUGGCGGCAGGCUUAACACAUGCAAGUCGAGCGGGGACUUCGGUCCUAGCGGCGAACGGGUGAGGAAUGCUUGGGAAUCUGCCCAGUAGCGGGGGAUAACGUUUCGAAAGGAACGCUAAUACCGCAUACGCCCUACGGGGGAAAGGGGGGGAUCUUCGGACCUCUCACUAUUGGAUGAGCCCAAGUCGGAUUAGCUAGUUGGUGGGGUAAAGGCCUACCAAGGCGACGAUCCGUAGCUGGUCUGAGAGGAUGAUCAGCCACACUGGAACUGAGACACGGUCCAGACUCCUACGGGAGGCAGCAGUGGGGAAUAUUGGACAAUGGGCGAAAGCCUGAUCCAGCCAUGCCGCGUGUGUGAAGAAGGCCUUCGGGUUGUAAAGCACUUUAAGCGAGGAGGAAUGGCUCUGGGUUAAUACCCUUGAGCAGUGACGUUAUUCGCAGAAUAAGCACCGGCUAACUCUGUGCCAGCCGCCGCCGUAAAAC